rnacentral:rRNA from 1 species
UACGUAGGGUGCAAGCGUUAAUCGGAAUUACUGGGCGUAAAGCGUGCGCAGGCGGUUUUGUAAGACAGAUGUGAAAUGCCCGGGCUUAACCUGGGAACUGCAUUUGUGACUGCAUGGCUAGAGUUUGGCAGAGGGGGGUAGAAUUCCACGUGUAGCAGUGAAAUGCGUAGAUAUGUGGAGGAAUACCGAUGGCGAAGGCAGCCUCCUGGGCCAACACUGACGCUCAUGCACGAAAGCGUGGGGAGCAAACAGG